ensembl:misc_RNA Metazoa_SRP Metazoan signal recognition particle RNA
GCCGGGCAUGGUGGCGUGCGCCUGUAAUCCCAGUUACUCAGGAGGCUGAGGCAGGAGAAUCGCUUGAACCCAGGAGUCGGAGGUUGCAGUGAGCCAAGAUCGCGCUACUGCACUCGAGCCUGGGUGACAAAGCGAGACUCUGUCUCAA